rnacentral:rRNA from 1 species
AGAAUUCAGUGAAUUCAUCGAAUCUUUGAACGCACCUUGCGCUCCUUGGUAUUCCGAGGAGCAUGCCUGUUUGAGUGUCAUU